rnacentral:misc_RNA from 1 species
GAUGAAGAACGUAGCGAAAUGCGAUAAGUAAUGUGAAUUGCAGAAUUCCGUGAAUCAUCGAAUCUUUGAACGCACAUUGCGCCCCCUGGCAUUCCGGGGGGCAUGCCUGUCCGAGCGUCAUUUCUGCCCUCCAGCCCGGCUGGGUGUUGGGCGCUGUCCCCCCGGGGACACGCCCCAAAGGCAGUGGCGGCGCCGCGUCGGGUCCUCGAGCGUAUGGGGCCUUGUCACCCGCUCGGGACGGACUCGUCGGCGCUGGUCUUCCUCCAGGCGACCCUUCGGGGCUCGUCUUCCUUCGGUUGACCUCGGAUCAGGUAGGGUUACCCGCUGAACUUAAGCAUAUCAAUAAGCGGAGGA